CACUUGUUUCCAUCUUAGGUAUUACAACUGAGAGAGAUGCCCUCUUGGAUUUCUGUGCCCAGGACUCAAAUCCAGAGAAUUUCUGCAGUAGACAGUAGACAAACACUGAGAAACACACAAAGGAUAUCCUAAAAAAAAAUGAUAUAGAAGACUGACAAAGAUCAUCCUGGGAUAGACAACACUGAUGGAGCUUAUUUUAUGUUCUCUGCCUCAGACAAGAUAGAAAAAAAUCACAAUAUAUGUGAAAAAAAUGGUGUGGUCAUCAGGUUAACUGAAAGCAUCACUAUGAAUCUACACUGCAGUUUUGCAUGCCAUAUCAAAUUCAGAAUUUACUAUCAAUUGCCUUCAAAAUUAUGCCUGUCAUUGAUCAUCGUCUGGAAGUCUUCAGAACAUGUCAGUAAAAACAGAAAGACAUUUACCAUGUAUAAUCAGAGCCCAUCUACCUGCUAGCCUCACAUCUGGAAAAUAGAAGCGAAGGAUCUGAAGGUUUGGGAAGCUGUGUAGUGUCUCCAUGGGGAUGGAGCUCUGCCUGAAGGACAGCUGGGCUUACCUACCAGGCUCUGUGCCAAGAGCUCAACCAGGCAGCCCUGAAGAAACUGUCAGGUGGGAAGGAUGGAUCUGCUUGAGAUAGCUAUAUCGUAUCAAGCUUGGGUAUCUUGUGUGUAUUCUUCAGUUUCGAUAUAUUGCCUACUGGCUUUCAAAGGCAUUAUGAUUCUGUGCUUUAUCCUUUAUGUAGAUUUUACAUAAAUAAACACUUCAUCUAAGCUUAACA
rnacentral:lncRNA from 1 species